AUGGCAGCGACCUCCUCCGCCUCCUACGCCGUCGCGGUCGCUCUCCUCUGCCUGCUCGCCGCCUAUGGCUGCUGCGGCUGCCCUGGACCCACACCUGCCCCCGCUAUCCCCAGCCCCGUCCCCGUUAUGCCUCCACCUGCCCCCGUUACCCCCAGCCCCGUCCCCGUUACACCUCCACCUGCGCCCGCUACCCCCAGCCCAGGCUCCGGCUCCGGCAGCACCAACGGCUCCUCCGACGGCUGGCUGGACGCGAGGGCCACCUGGUACGGCGCCCCCGAUGGCGCCGGGCCGGACGACAACGGUGGCGCGUGCGGGUUCAAGAACGUGAACCUGCCUCCGUUCAACGCCAUGACGUCGUGCGGCAACGAGCCGCUCUUCAAGGACGGCAAGGGAUGCGGCUCCUGCUACCAGAUAAGGUGCGUGGCUCACGCUCAUCCGGCGUGCUCCGGCGUCCCAGAGACGGUGAUCAUCACGGACAUGAACUACUACCCGGUCGCCCGCUACCACUUCGACCUCAGCGGCACUGCGUUCGGCGCCAUGGCCAAGGACGGCCGCAACGACGAGCUCCGCCACGCCGGCAUCAUCGACAUGCAGUUCAAGAGGGUGCCAUGCCAGUACCCGGGGCUGUCGGUGACGUUCCACGUGGAGAAGGGGUCGAACCCCAACUACCUGGCGAUCCUGGUGGAGUACGGGAACGGCGACGGCGACGUGGCGCAGGUGGACCUCAUGGACGGCGGCGAGACGACGGGGGCCUGGAGGCCGAUGAGGCACUCGUGGGGCUCCAUCUGGCGCCUGGACACGCGCCGCCCGCUGCGGGGGCCCUUCUCGUUGCGGGUCACCAACGGGUCCGGCAGGUCGCUCGUCGCCGACCAGGUCAUCCCCGCGAGUUGGCAGGCCGACGCCGCGUACAGCUCCGACGUCCAGUUCGAUGAUUGA
rnacentral:rRNA from 1 species